UGUGUGAUGGUGCCAGUGUGGAGGGGUGUGUGUGUGUGUGUGCCAGAGAGAGAAACAGACAGUGCAAACGUGACUGGAGUGUCAGGAACACCGAGUUCAGACAUCGACGCCGUGUCUCUCUUCCAUUUCUUCCUCUCCUUUUCUUUCAUUUGUUCCCCCGUCUUUCCUCCCACCACCCUCCUUCAUCCUUUUCUCCUACCGUCUUUCCCUUUAUCUCCCCUCCUCUUUGUCUCUCCCUCUCUUUCCUUCAUAUGCAGCAACCCACUCAGACGUCGAUGAAUAAUUCAGUCUGUGUUGCACUGCAGGUUUCCCCCUCUCCCCAUUCCUUCCCAUUUUGCCGCCUCCCCUCUUUUCUCUCCUCCACUGCAUCAUCCCUCCUUCCUCGGCGUCAAUCCUUUCGCGAUCAAAAAGUGGCCUGAUAAUCUACAUCUCGGUUUAACAGUCGGUGUUGACGUGCGUUAAAAGCAGAGCAGAGGUACUCCGUGUGUUUAGUAUUCCGCAGCCGAAGCUACGGGGGGAUUUCUGUGCGUCUCUCCCGCCGCCCCUCCCAUCAGCCUCUCCAUCAGCAUCACUCCCCUCUCUGAUUUGCGAUCAGAAAGAUCCACCAGAAGCCCGUGUCGGAAGGGGUGAGUCACCGGCAAAGUCCGCUUGGCAACCGAGAAGCUGGUCACGCUGCGGGCUUCCAGGAAGUCAUUUGACAUUUCACAGUCUCUCCAAAACAGUUCAGACUCAUCCCACCUGCUUUCCAUGGAGGAAAAGAAAGGGAGAAAAGAAAGAAAGAAAGAAAAAGACCCCAGUCAUGAGACUCUGACACCUCUGCAUGUCUAAAACACGGCAACAGUCGUCACAGCAGCUCAUUAGCGCUGACCUGCAGGACUCUGCAGAACUUGAUAAAACGCUGAGGAGACAAUCCAACCUUUCGACUCAAGCAAGUUGGACAAAGAAGAAGCCUAAAGGUUGCAAGGAGCACUUGAGUUUGACAGUCCUGUUGUAGAAUAAUCUACAAAUCACCAAGUAAAACAAAGACUUGUAAGGUGUUUCCUAGAGAAGUAGUGAAAGGGUUUGCCAGCUUCAAAGAAAUUUGCUUGAUUCACUGCUGUUGUAUUUUAGUCACAAGACUAGGACAUACUCAAGGUCACAAUGAGUUUGUCCUUCAGUUUGACUUUAAUCCAAACUGGAAAAUCUCCAAGUCAUUCCUCUGAUAAACAUGUGAACAAUUAGUAGACAGCGUAGCUCCUACCACUGAUAAAGUCCUAAAAACAGGUGUGGUAAGAAGUAGAAUAAAAAUAAGCAGGUUGUUUUUUUGUUUUUUUUAUAACUACAUUGGUCAAAAACCAUCUUUUCUGUCUGCAUGAUGCUAGACUUGAACUGAAGUUACAUUCAAAUUGAAGUUGUUAGUCUUUUCACACUCGUCUUUUGCAUGGCGGUUGAUAGUAAAAUCCCAUUUUACAUGUUUUUUUGAAUGCUGAUUUCUUGUAGAAUAUGUCGGCCCGAACAGGAAGGCAAACUACAUACAUUUGCAAAAGUUUUCAAAUCAGCGAUAGUUACCACAUCAGACAGUAUUGUGUAUUUUAUUGAGAUUUUGUACGAGUGACAAACUACAAAGUAUCACAUACUGCAAUUGUGAAACGCCUCCAUAUAUAUCUAUUUACUAAUUCUGGCUUCUGAAAGCUUAAUUAGGUGAGCUGUUAAAGUUGAUCAAAAAUAAAUAAGUAAAGGAAAAUA